rnacentral:rRNA from 1 species
GACGAACGCUGGCGGCGUGGAUUAGGCAUGCAAGUCGAACGGUAUGGACCUUUCGGGGUUCAGAGAGUGGCGAACGGGUGAGUAACACGUAGGUAAUCUACCCUCAAGACGGGGACAACCCAGGGAAACUUGGGCUAAUACCGGAUGUGUGUAGUGGCUAUUUUUCUGAUUAUCAUUAUUUACGUAAGUGAGUAAUAAUAAGAAGGGAAAGUGGUUAUUACAUAAAAGGUGGCGUAAGCUGCCGCUUGGGGAUGAGCCUGCGUCCUAUUAGUUAGUUGGUGAGGUAACGGCUUACCAAGGCGAUGAUAGGUAGGCGGCCUUAACGGGUGGUCGCCCACACUGGGAUUGAGAUACGGCCCAGACUCCUACGGGAGGCAGCAGUCGAGAAUAGUCUACAAUGGACGGAAGUCUGAUAGUGCGACGCCGCGUGAACGAAGAAUCCCUUCGGGGUGUAAAGUUCUUUUAUACGUGAGCAGUGUCCUUUAUAUUAAUAGUAUAAGGGGAGAGAUAUUAGCGUAUGAAUAAGCAAC